UCAGAACGAACGCUGGCGGCGUGGAUUAGGCAUGCAAGUCGAACGCGAAAGAGGGGGCAACUCCUCGAGUAGAGUGGCGAACGGGUGAGUAACGCGUGAGAAACCUGCCUUCAUCAGGGGGAUAACACUCCCAACGGGGUGCUAAUACCGCAUGAGACCACGGGAUCGCAUGGUCCUGAGGUCAAAGGUGGCCUCUAUUUAUAAGCUACCGGAUGAAGAUGGUCUCGCGUCCCAUUAGCUAGUUGGCGGGGUAACGGCCCACCAAGGCGACGAUGGGUAGCUGGUCUGAGAGGAUGGUCAGCCACACUGGGACUGAGAUACGGCCCAGACUCCUACGGGAGGCAGCAGUCGAGAGGCUUCGGCAAUGGGGGAAACCCUGACCGAGCGACGCCGCGUGGGGGAUGAAGGCCCUUGGGUUGUAAACCCCUUUUGUUCGGGAAGAAGUGCGAUCAGGUGAACAAUCUGGUCGUUUGACGGUACCGGACGAAUAAGCUCCGGCUAACUCCGUGCCAGCAGCCGCGGUAACACGGGGGGAGCAAGCGUUGUUCGGAAUCACUGGGCGUAAAGGGCGUGUAGGCGGUCAGGUAAGUGAGAUGUGAAAUGCCCCGGCUCACCCGGGGACCGGCAUCUCAUACUGUCUGGCUUGAGUACGGGAGAGGAUGUGGGAAUUCCUGGUGUAGCGGUGAAAUGCGUAGAUAUCAGGAGGAACACCGGUGGCGAAGGCGCACAUCUGGCCCGAUACUGACGCUGAGGCGCGAAAGCUAGGGGAGCAAGCGGGAUUAGAUACCCCGGUAGUCCUAACCGUAAACGGUGAUCACUAGGUGUUGGAGGCAUUGACCCCUCCAGUGCCGCAGCUAACGCAUUAAGUGAUCCGCCUGGGGAGUACGGGCCGGCAGGUGAAACU
rnacentral:rRNA from 1 species